GUUGAAACACUAGUUCCCGUACAAUCACCGAAGUUAAGCAACAUCAAGCCUGGUCAGUAUCUGGAUGGGUGACCGCUUUGGAAUACCAGUUGAUGUAAU